rnacentral:rRNA from 1 species
UCCGGUUGAUCCUGCCGGACCCCACUGCUAUCGGGAUAGGACUAAGACAUGCUAGUCGUGUGCCUCAGCCAAAACGAGGCACGGCGCACAGCUCAGUAACACGUGGCUAACCUGCCCUUAGGACGAGAAUAACCCCGGGAAACUGGGGCUAAUGCUCGAUAGGUGAAGAACUCUGGAAUGAGUCUUCACUUAAAAGAGUCUGCGUUAUGCUCGUAGAUUUCGCCCGAGGAUGGGGCCGCGACCGAUCAGGUUGUUGGCGAGGUAAUGGCUCACCAAGCCUUUUACCGGUGCGGGCCGUGAGAGCGGGAGCCCGGAGAUGGGCACUGAGACAAGGGCCCAGGCCCUACGGGGCGCAGCAGUCGCGAAAACUUUGCAAUACACGAAAGUGUGACAGGGCUAUCCCGAGUGCCAUCCGCUGAGGAAGGCUUUUACCCAGUCUAGAAAGCUGGGGGAAUAAGGAGAGGGCGAGUCUGGUGUCAGCCGCCGCGGUAAUACCAGCUCUCCGAGUGGUGUGGAUGUUUAUUGGGCCUAAAGCAUCCGUAGCUGGCUAAGUUAGUCCCCUGUUAAAUCCAACGAAUUAAUCGUUGGAUCGCGGGGGAUACUGCUUGGCUAGGGGACGAGAGAGGCAGACGGUAUUUCCGGGGUAGGGGUGAAAUCCUAUAAUCCCGGGAAGACCACCAGUGGCGAAGGCUGUCUGCUAGAACGCGCCCGACGGUGAGGGAUGAAAGCUGGGGGAGCGAACCGGAUUAGAUACCCGGGUAGUCCCAGCUGUAAACGAUGCAGGCUAGGUGUUUGGACGGCCACGUGCCGUUCUAGUGCCGCAGGGAAGCUGUUAAGCCUGCCGCCUGGGGAGUACGAUCGCAAGAUUGAAACUUAAAGGAAUUGGCGGGGGAGCACCACAAGGGGUGAAGCUUGCGGUUUAAUUGGAGUCAACGCCGGA